UUUGGCCCAGUCCAAACACUCCACGUUACGCACUGGGCCGGGGCGUUUGGUUAGGCGCGCGAGCAGUCGAGCACCCAGAUUCAAUCGAUCCCCUCGCUGCCCCAAUUCCCCUAACCUAGCUCUGCUGAAGGCGGCCGGCCCUCUCCUGCACCUCCGUCUAGGUCCGGCUCCGGCGCCCUGCGCCCGGCGGCCAGGCAAGGCAUCUCAAGCCUCUCCGUCGCCCCUUCGGCCGGCCCUCUCCCUCCCCUGCCCUCACCCUCCGGCCCUCUGCCCCCGCCCAGCUCUGCCCACUGCCCUUCACCUCUGCGCAGUACCUCCUCUGCGGACUGCGGCUCAGGCACUCCGGCGACCGGCGGUCCGGCCUCCCCAGCGCGGCAGCGCCCUCCGGCAGUCCAAGUCCGUGCCAUCCACAUCUAGUUUAGCAUCCAGCCAUCUACCAAGAUGAAAAGAAAGGAUGUUAGCUUAUUCGAACUGUGGGACAAAUCUUCAAAGGCAAGAAAGUUAACUUCUACGUCCACACCAACUCCUAUUUCUGAGGAGGUUAAGAGCAAUCUGCAACUAGCACUAGUACCAACACAUGAUGAAACUCCACAACCGGAGAGGGAGAGAGGCUCCACGAUCCCAAUUAUAGAAGAUGAAGCGGUUGAUGAAGAUGGUGAAUCAAUUCCCGAAUUUGAAGCAGAUUUGGCUGCUCUAGAACGUGAUCCCGGCAAGCGACUCCCUAUAUCUUCAUAUCAUGUCAAUGGCCAGGAUAGAGUUAGAAGGAGAUACAUUAACUUGGGAGCUUGUCAACCAAAGGAUCAUAAGUUUGAAAUUAGAGAUUUUAGUGGACAUUUUCGUCGCUUUUCCCCUACUUGGUUUAAAGAUCAUAAAUGGCUUGAGUACAGCGUGGAAAAAGAGGCUGCUUUUUUGCUUUGUUUGCUACUUGUUCAAGGAUAAAACAAAAAGUCCCGGAGGAGAUGCAUUUGUGAAUGGUGGGUUUAAUAAUUGGAACAUGAAAGGAAGAUUGAAGAGGCAUAUUGGAGCCGUUAGUAGUGCUCAUGCUGAAGCUCAAGAAAAAUAUGAUAUGUUCACUACACCUACAACAUCAAUUAGGGAGUCUAUUGCUUCAAACACCUCACAAUACAAGGCUUUGUAUAAACAUCGUUUGACAUGGACACUCAAGUGUGUGAGACUUCUGUUGAGCCAAGGCCUGGCAUUUAGGGGGCAUGAUGAAAGUGAAGACUCACUAAAUAAAGGAAAUUUCCUUGAGCUUCUAAAUUGGCUAGCAGGAAACUUUGAAGAGGUUGACAGGGUUGUUCUCAAGAAUGCUCCACAGAACUGCAAGAUGACUCACCAUGAUAUACAUCAAGAGGUGAUAAAAUGUUGUGCGCAAGAGACUACUAAACUAGUCAUUGAAGAACUUGACGGUGGUCAUUUUGCAAUACUUGCAGAUGAGUCUAGUGGUGUGUAUCAGAAUGAACAGUUGACACUAAAAGCUGCAAUUCAGAAAAUGCUUAUGGACUACAAUUUGACCUUUGCAAUGGUUCGUGGGCAAGGAUAUGAUGGAGCUAGUAAUAUGAGAGGUAAUGCUAAUGGCCUAAAAAACUAAUUAUGGAUGAGUCCCCUUCUGCCUACUAUGUUCAUUGUUUUGCCCAUCAAUUACAGUUAACUCUUGUGCCGUUGCUAAGGAGAGUGGUGAUUGUAUUUGGUUCUUUCA